UGGGGGAUAUUGCACAAUGGGGGAAACCCUGAUGCAGCAACGCCGCGUGAGGGAAGACGGUUUUCGGAUUGUAAACCUCUGUCAUUGGUGACGAUAAUGACGGUAGCCAAUGAGGAAGCUCCGGCUAACUACGUGCCAGCAGCCGCGGUAAUACGUAGGGAGCGAGCGUUGUCCGGAAUUACUGGGUGUAAAGGGUGCGUAGGCGGGAGAACAAGUCAGGCGUGAAAGGUAUCGGCUUAACCGAUAGACUGCGCUUGAAACUGAUUUUCUUGAGUGAAGUAGAGGCAGGCGGAAUUCCCGGUGUAGCGGUGAAAUGCAUAGAGAUCGGGAGGAACACCAGUGGCGAAGGCGGCCUGCUGGGCUUUAACUGACGCUGAAGCACGAAAGCAUGGGUAGCAAACAGG
rnacentral:rRNA from 1 species